UAUGGGCAUAGGGUCAUCCCUGGAUCACCUACUCAUGUCAAAUCAGCCUAAGCCUGAGGCCUACUGUGGCUGAGCUGAAACCUUGCAGGCCUUAGCCUGGAAGGUAAUCGAGGGCGCAGCUUUGCAUGGCUUCUCUCCUGUAACACCAAGAACAACUCUGAUGCUAGUUGGGUUGCUGUCCUUUUCCUGCUGCAGCUGCUCCUCUGCAGGCUGUCUGCUACAUCACAAAGAAAGAAGAGUUGCUUGUAAUCUUGACUUAUAAACAUCUAUAAUGCCUUUGUCUGAUGUACUUACCAUCACCAUAACACAUACUACAGAAGUCUCCAACUAUCUGGCAAUUGAGAGAGAAGCGAGGAGAAACCCAAGAACCAGGGACAAGGCUCACUAGACCUGCCUCAAGAAUUCAUAAUAAUCAGUGGAAAGAGUUCCCAG